UACGGAGGGUGCAAGCGUUAUCCGGAUUUACUGGGUUUAAAGGGUGCGUAGGUGGCCUGAUAAGUCAGUGGUGAAAUCUCUCGGCUUAACCGAGUGGCUGCCAUUGAUACUGUUGGGCUUGAAUACGGUUGAAGUAGGCGGAAUAAAUCAUGUAGAGGUGAAAUUCUUAGAUAUGAUUUAGAACACCGAUUGCGAAGGCAGCUUACUAAACCGCAAUUGACACUGAGGCACGAAAGCGUGGGGAUCAAACAGG
rnacentral:rRNA from 1 species